CAGUAGCCGCGGGAAUACAGAGGGUGCAAGCGUUAAUCGGAAUUACUGGGCGUAAAGCGCGCGUAGGUGGUUUGUUAAGUUGGAUGUGAAAGCCCCGGGCUCAACCUGGGAACUGCAUCCAAAACUGGCAAGCUAGAGUACGGUAGAGGGUGGUGGAAUUUCCUGUGUAGCGGUGAAAUGCGUAGAUAUAGGAAGGAACACCAGUGGCGAAGGCGACCACCUGGACUGAUACUGACACUGAGGUGCGAAAGCGUGGGGAGCAAACAGGAUUAGAGACCCCCAGUAGUCCCUGUCUCUUAUA
rnacentral:rRNA from 1 species